UGCUCCGCAACUCCUAUCCCUACCUCCUCGCGGUACUGGCCGGGGUACGAGUAACCUUAGGGAAGAUCGGGUAACCAACCCCCGGUGGGAACUUUGGUCGUAUGCUGACAGGGAAGG
rnacentral:ribozyme from 1 species